rnacentral:rRNA from 1 species
GAUGAACGCUGACGGCGUGCCUAAUACAUGCAAGUCGAGCGAACAGAUAAGGAGCUUGCUCCUUUGACGUUAGCGGCGGACGGGUGAGUAACACGUGGGUAACCUACCUAUAAGACUGGGAUAACUUCGGGAAACCGGAGCUAAUACCGGAUAACAUUUGGAACCGCAUGGUUCUAAAGUGAAAGAUGGUUUUGCUAUCACUUAUAGAUGGACCCGCGCCGUAUUAGCUAGUUGGUAAGGUAACGGCUUACCAAGGCGACGAUACGUAGCCGACCUGAGAGGGUGAUCGGCCACACUGGAACUGAGACACGGUCCAGACUCCUACGGGAGGCAGCAGUAGGGAAUCUUCCGCAAUGGGCGAAAGCCUGACGGAGCAACGCCGCGUGAGUGAUGAAGGGUUUCGGCUCGUAAAACUCUGUUAUUAGGGAAGAACAAAUGUGUAAGUAACUGUGCACGUCUUGACGGUACCUAAUCAGAAAGCCACGGCUAACUACGUG